rnacentral:rRNA from 1 species
AUUGAACGCUGGCGGCAGGCCUAACACAUGCAAGUCGAGCGGAUGAAGGGAGCUUGCUCCUGGAUUCAGCGGCGGACGGGUGAGUAAUGCCUAGGAAUUUGCCUGGUAGUGGGGGAUAACGUCCGGAAACGGGCGCUAAUACCGCAUACGUCCUGAGGGAGAAAGUGGGGGAUCUUCGGACCUCACGCUAUCAGAUGAGCCUAGGUCGGAUUAGCUAGUUGGUGGGGUAAAGGCCUACCAAGGCGACGAUCCGUAACUGGUCUGAGAGGAUGAUCAGUCACACUGGAACUGAGACACGGUCCAGACUCCUACGGGAGGCAGCAGUGGGGAAUAUUGGACAAAGGGCGAAAGCCUGAUCCAGCCAUGCCGCGUGUGUGAAGAAGGUCUUCGGAUUGUAAAGCACUUUAAGUUGGGAGGAAGGGCAGUAAGUUAAUACCUUGCUGUUUUGACGUUACCAACAGAAUAAGCACCGGCUAACUUCGUG